rnacentral:lncRNA from 1 species
GGCAUCAGAGACCAUCGAUAUGAAACCCUGAUCAAAGAGUUCAAAUUUCAAAUUCAAAAUUUGAAAUUCAAAAUUUUGACCCUGGUACCCAAAAUGUGUGGAGCUCAUGAUCAGAGAAUUCUAAUUCUCAAUCAUAGAGUUUCAGACAUAUAAGACUCAUAAUCAGCCAUCAGAUCAGAAAGGAACCUCUAAUGUGUGUGACCCCGCAGGUUCGAACCUAAGUCGGUAGCACAGGAACCAAUUCAUGUACUAAUCGAAGUGACCAUCUAGCAAUGGUACCCAAUGACCG